AGCCUCUAACCCAGCACCCUGAGUGAUACCCUGGCACUGAAAUACAGCCACAGGGAGCUGGAACACAGGGAAAUCAGAGACACACAGGGUGGAUGCUUUUUAGCUUAACAGGAGGAGGGAAACUCUCCAGUGGCUCUUCUUGUCCCUGUGAGAGGAGCUCCUCACCUGGCUGCAACUGGCCACAGCUGCACAGGGGGGAUUGCAAAGCCCAGGACAUGCACACAGUGAUCCCAGAGUUAGAAAUAUUUGCUCAGCCUCAG